rnacentral:misc_RNA from 1 species
GUACAAUUAUCUCUUGAUGACCAUCUAAAAAACACAAAUUUGGCGUUGCAUUGGUAAUGAAAAUGGCAUGAAGGAAUAAUCGAGGUAGUUUUUGGUUAUUAGGAUUCUUCCAUGUUUUGAGCACUAUUUCAAUAGUCCUUGAAACUGUUGAAGGUAACACAGUGUUGUAAGUGGUGGCAUGUAGGGAUUAUCCAAUGGUUUGAUGUAAGAUUUUUGAAUUUGCAGAAGGUAG